UACGGAGGGUGCAAGCGUUAUCCGGAUUUACUGGGUUUAAAGGGUGCGCAGGCGGAUAUGUAAGUCAGUGGUGAAAUCUCCGGGCUUAACCCGGAACUGCCGUUGAUACUAUAUAUCUUGAAUGCCGUGGAGGUAAGCGGAAUAUGUCAUGUAGCGGUGAAAUGCUUAGAUAUGACAUAGAACACCUAUUGCGAAGGCAGCUUACUACACGGAGAUUGACGCUCAUGCACGAAAGCGUGGGGAUCAAACAGG
rnacentral:rRNA from 1 species